UACGGGGGGAGCAAGCGUUGUUCGGAUUUACUGGGCGUAAAGGGCGCGUAGGCGGGUGUGCCAGUCCGGGGUGAAAGCUUUCGGCUUAACCGGAAAAGGGCCUUGGAUACUGCACAUCUUGAGGGAGGUAGGGGCUUGUGGAACUUUGGGUGGAGCGGUGAAAUGCGUUGAUAUCCAAAGGAACGCCGGUGGCGAAAGCGACAGGCUGGACCUCUUCUGACGCUGAGGCGCGAAAGCCAGGGGAGCAAACGGG
rnacentral:rRNA from 1 species